GAUGAACGCUGGCGGCGUGCUUAACACAUGCAAGUCGAACGAGAAAUGGAGACGGAAACCUUCGGGCGGAAGGCUUCAUUUCGAGUGGCGGACGGGUGAGUAACGCGUGGGUAACCUGCCUCAUACAGGGGGAUAACAGUUGGAAACGACUGUUAAUACCGCAUAAGACCACAGCACCGCAUGGUGCGGGGGUAAAAACUCCGGUGGUAUGAGAUGGACCCGCGUUCGAUUAGCCAGUUGGCGGGGUAACGGCCCACCAAAGCGACGAUCGAUAGCCGAUCUGAGAGGAUGACCGGCCACAUUGGGACUGAGGCACAGCCCAAACUCCUACGGGAGGCAGCAGUGGGGAAUAUAGCACAAUGGAGGAAGCCCUGAUGCAGCGACGCCGCGUGAGUGAAGAAGUACUUCGGUAUGUAAAGCUCUAUCAGCAGGGAAGAAAAUGACGGUACCUGAGUAAGAAGCCCCGGCUAACUACGUG
rnacentral:rRNA from 1 species